GGGGGCGGGCCCGCGAGCACUGCAGCCCCGAGCCAGAGGGGUGGAAGGUCGUCGAGUGCUUGGAGGGGAGGUGGAGCGGCGACUGAGCGCCCCAGGAGCUGGCUGCAACCCGGACGCGGCCAAGGAGCGUUUGGUACCGGCUAAUGGGGCGGGGGUGCGGGGCCCGAGCCCAGUCAAGGAGCAGCACCUACCUCCGGGGGUGGAAAUGGGCCGGAAUGGGCCGGAACACCGUCCCGGAAGUGAAACCCCCCGCCCCCUCCUCCGGAGCGGGCGACGUGCCGGAAGGAAAUCAGUCACCCUCACACCGCCCCUCCCCCAGCGCGUUCCUUGCAGGAGCCCCCUCCCCUCAGCCUUUACUCCUCAGGGAGGCAGUGGGCGGGCCUAACGUGCCCGCGGCGACUCCGCCUUCCAGGACCUCUGGGGCGUGGCCAGCGGGAAAAUUUGAGGGCGUGGAGGAGGUGGGGCCUGAGGAGGAGUCUUAGGGCGUGCGAGGGGCGGGUCUUAAUGGGCGCAGGGGGCCGCCUUGCGUCUUGACGUCACGAAGACUUUAUAUACUCGACUCAGCCGCCAUAUCGGCCUUUCGCAGCUGUUCGGCGACUUGAGCAGGUAUGUGAAUUGUUGAAUAAGUUUUCGUUUCGGGCCUUCGAAGCUGAAGCACCGAAAACUGGUGGAAUUCUGGGGCCAGCAGGUGUGCUUAGUUUAAGGCACAAGCUGAAAACUUUGGGAGAUUGGCUCUGCGUGUGUUUGUGCCAUAAGGUGGUAGUAUUGGGUUUUAACAUGAAAAACCUACAAAGACGACUCAGCAUGCGUGUUUUUGCUAUGAUGAAGGCUAUGUUGGUAGGGACAACUGACCUUGUUGAUGAAUACCAACAAUUCUGAUGGCAGAGCAUGCGGAGUCACCUAAAGCGGCCUUUCUUACUUGCUAAUUUGCGGUUCACCAUAAACCAUGGCGGAAUGCAGAGCCCUACGGUGUGUAUUUCGAGAUCACCAUGCCGUUGAAGGCAUUCGCUAGAAGCGGCCACUAAGUAGUCCUUAAUCGUAAGGUGUCGGGACUUAAGUGUAAUUGCUGGGUAUGUGCUUUCCCCAUACACAAAGUGUCUAUGUAAACUUUUUCUUUUGUUAAGAUUGACCUGUUUUUGUGGGAGAAAAUCUAAAACAACGAAUUUUUCUUAGGAAUGGCGCUGUGGACCUCUGUGAUGGGGCAUCUAGUGGACUGUCACAGGCAGUUCUGUGGAAAAGACGGAUGAAGACUAAAGAUUCAUGAAGAAGUUGGAUAACCAAACAAGAGCAAUGUGCUGAAUCAGAUGGAUCAGGGCAGCUUUUAACUAUUUGGAAAAGAAGAUGGUGGAGAUUGAGGCUGGAUAGAGAGUUUUAAGAGUACAAAUGAAAAUUGGAACAAAGGUAUCACACAUGGGUGCCUUUAACUGAAUGCACUGUGCAAGCUUAACACAACGAAUGAUCCUCUAUUCUGAAUUUCAAGGGCUCCUGUGACGAGUGGACAUGCAGUGAGUGUACCUUUAUGUUUCCGAGGUCCCUGGAUGAAGCCUCAAGUAGAUGUCUCAGAUACUCGCUGUGCUAAGAAUUUUACCAUUAAAGUAUGCUAUAACAUCUGGA